rnacentral:rRNA from 1 species
UACAGAGGUCCCGAGCGUUGUUCGGAUUUAUUGGGCGUAAAGGGUGCGUAGGCGGCGGAGUAAGUUGGGUGUGAAAUCCCGAGGCUCAACCUCGGAAUGGCAUUCAAUACUGCUUCGCUCGAGUACUGGAGAGGAGGCUGGAAUUUACGGUGUAGCAGUGAAAUGCGUAGAUAUCGUAAGGAAGCCGGUGGCGAAAGCGAGCCUCUGGACAGUUACUGACGCUGAUGCACGAAGGCCAGGGGAGCAAACGGG